AAUGCUCGCAAGAGUGAACUAGCUAACUGAAAUCACUAAUUGAUCUUAUCAAUGUGAUAUAGUAAGGGAAAACAAAUGAUAUUACUUUACUUAUAGUGUUGUCUAAUUCUGGUGCCAGAAGACUCGGUAAUACCAGUAACGCGAACGUUAGUCAUCUUUAUCAGGCGUAAAGGGUUUGUAGGCAGCUUUUAAAAAAAAAUUCUUAACUAUAUUGUCCUUUUUUAUUCUUUUUUUUUAUUAAAAAAAAAGACAAAAAAGGAAUAAAUAGUGAAGUCUCUAAUUUGAGAGCUAGAAUCAAAUAGAAGUUAAAAAGUAUAAUACUUAGAGAAGGGUUGAUAUUCUUAGAACCUAAGGGGAAUACUAAAGGUGUAAACAACUAACUAUAAAUGAUUGACGCUGAGACACGAAGGUGAGGAUAGGAAAUAGGAUUAGAUACCCCGGUACCCCUCUCUGUAAACGAUGAAUGGUAGUUAUUAGUGUAUUACUGGUAACGAAGCUAACGCGUUAACCAUUCCGCCUUGGGAGUACGAUUGCAAAGUUGAAAACAAAAAAAUUAGUCGGUCUCGGAGCAAACGGAGUGAAGC
rnacentral:rRNA from 1 species